GAUGAACGCUGGCGGCGUGCCUAAUACAUGCAAGUCGAGCGAAGCGGGGACGGGUGAGUAACACGUGGAUAACCUCCUAUAAGACUGGAAUACCUUCGGGAAACCUGAUCUAAACAGGUUACUUAUAGAUGGUGCUGAGCUGCAUUAGCUAGUUGGUGCGGUAACGGCUUACCAAGGCAACGAUGCAUAGCCGACCUGAGAGGGUGAUCGGCCACACGGGAACUGAGACACGGUCCAGACUCCUACGGGAGGCAGCAGUAGGGAAUCUUCCGCAAUGGGCGAAAGCCUGACGGAGCAACGCCGCGUGAGUGAUGAAGGUCUUCGGAUCGUAAAACUCUGUUAUUAGGGAAGCGGUACCUAAUCAGAAAGCCACGGCUAACUACGUGCCAGCAGCCGCGGUAAUUC
rnacentral:rRNA from 1 species